GGAGAGGUGGGUGAGUGGCUGAAACCGCAUGUUUGCUAAACAUGUGUACGGGUGACCGUACCGGGGGUUCGAAUCCCCCUCUCUCCGCCA
rnacentral:tRNA from 1 species